rnacentral:rRNA from 1 species
GAUGAACGCUGGCGGCGUGCCUAAUACAUGCAAGUCGAGCGAACGGACGAGAAGCUUGCUUCUCUGAUGUUAGCGGCGGACGGGUGAGUAACACGUGGAUAACCUACCUAUAAGACUGGGAUAACUUCGGUAAACCGGAGCUAAUACCGGUUAAUAUUUUGAACCGCAUGGUUCCAAAGUGAAACACGGUCUUGCUUUCACUUAUCGAUGGAUCCGCCCUGCAUUAGCAAGUUGUUAAGGUAACAGCUUACCAAGACAACGAUGCAUAGCCGACCUGAGAGGGCGAUCGGCCAAACGGGAAAUGAGAAACGGUCCAGAAGCAUGCGGGAGGCAGCAGGAGGGAAUCUUCAGGAAUGGGCGAAAGCCUGACGGAGCAACGCCGCGUGAGUGAUGAAGGACUUCGGAUCGUAAAACGCUGUUAUUAGGGAAGAACAGAUGUGUACGUAACUGUGCACAUCUGGACGGUACCUAAUCAGAAAGCCACGGCUAACUACGA